rnacentral:rRNA from 1 species
AGGGCGCACGGUGGAUGCCUUGGCACUAGGAGCCGACGAAGGACGUGACAAACGACGAUAUGCCUUGGGUAGCUGUAAGUAAGCGAUGAUCCAGGGAUUUCCGAAUGGGGGAACCCAACAGGUAAUACCUGUUACCUACAUCUGUUAAGGAUGUGAGGAGGAAGACGCAGUGAACUGAAACAUCUAAGUAGCUGCAGGAAGAGAAAGCAAAAGCGAUUGCCUUAGUAGCGGCGAGCGAAACGGCAGAAGGGCAAACCGAAGAGUUUACUCUUCGGGGUUGUAGGACUGCAAUGUGGACUCAAAGAUUAUAGAAGAAUGAUUUGGGAAGAUCAGCCAAAGAGAGUAAUAGCCUCGUAUUUAAAAUAGUCUUUGUACCUAGCAGUAUCCUGAGUACGGCGGGACACGUGAAAUCCCGUCGGAAUCUGGGAGGACCAUCUCCCAACCCUAAAUACUCCCUAGUGACCGAUAGUGAACCAGUACCGUGAGGGAAAGGUGAAAAGCACCCCGGGAGGGGAGUGAAAUAGAACCUGAAACCGUGUGCCUACAACAAGUUCGAGCCCGUUAAUGGGUGAGAGCGUGCCUUUUGUAGAAUGAACCGGCGAGUUACGUUAUGAUGCGAGGUUAAGUUGAAGAGACGGAGCCGUAGGGAAACCGAGUCUGAAUAGGGCGCCUUAGUAUCAUGACGUAGACCCGAAACCAUGUGACCUACCCAUGAGCAGGUUGAAGGUGCGGUAAGACGCACUGGAGGACCGAACCAGGGCACGUUGAAAAGUGCUUGGAUGACUUGUGGGUAGCGGAGAAAUUCCAAACGAACUUGGAGAUAGCUGGUUCUCUCCGAAAUAGCUUUAGGGCUAGCGUCGACAUUAGAGAUUCUUGGAGGUAGAGCACUGUUUGGGUGAGGGGUCCAUCCCGGAUUACCAAUCUCAGAUAAACUCCGAAUGCCAAUGAAUUAUGGUCGGCAGUCAGACUGCGAGUGCUAAGAUCCGUAGUCGAAAGGGAAACAGCCCAGACCACCAGCUAAGGUCCCAAAAUAAUUGUUAAGUGGAAAAGGAUGUGGGGUUGCACAGACAACUAGGAUGUUAGCUUAGAAGCAGCUAUUCAUUCAAAGAGUGCGUAAUAGCUCACUAGUCGAGUGACCCUGCGCCGAAAAUGUACCGGGGCUAAAACAAUUUACCGAAGCUGUGGAUACCUUUAUAGGUAUGGUAGGAGAGCGUUCUAUGUGUGAUGAAGGUAUACCGUGAGGAGUGCUGGAACGCAUAGAAGUGAGAAUGCCGGUAUGAGUAGCGAAAGACAGGUGAGAAUCCUGUCCACCGUAAGACUAAGGUUUCCAGGGGAAGGCUCGUCCGCCCUGGGUUAGUCGGGACCUAAGGAGAGACCGAAAGGUGUAUCCGAUGGACAACAGGUUGAUAUUCCUGUACUAGAGUAUGUAGUGAUGGAGGGACGCAGUAGGCUAACUAAAGCAGACGAUUGGAAGAGUCUGUCUAAGCAGUGAGGUGUGAAUUGAGUCAAAUGCUUAAUUCUAUAACAUUGAGCUGUGAUGGGGAGCGAAGUUUAGUAGCGAAGUUAGUGACGUCACACUGCCAAGAAAAGCUUCUAGCGUUUAAACAUACUCUACCCGUACCGCAAACCGACACAGGUAGUCGAGGCGAGUAGCCUCAGGUGAGCGAGAGAACUCUCGUUAAGGAACUCGGCAAAAUGACCCCGUAACUUCGGGAGAAGGGGUGCUGACUUAAAGUCAGCCGCAGUGAAUAGGCCCAAGCAACUGUUUAUCAAAAACACAGCUCUCUGCUAAAUCGUAAGAUGAUGUAUAGGGGGUGACGCCUGCCCGGUGCUGGAAGGUUAAGAGGAGUGCUUAGCGUAAGCGAAGGUAUGAAUUGAAGCCCCAGUAAACGGCGGCCGUAACUAUAACGGUCCUAAGGUAGCGAAAUUCCUUGUCGGGUAAGUUCCGACCCGCACGAAAGGCGUAAUGAUUUGGGCACUGUCUCAACGAGAGACUCGGUGAAAUUUUAGUACCUGUGAAGAUGCAGGUUACCCGCGACAGGACGGAAAGACCCCAUGGAGCUUUACUGCAGUUUGAUAUUGAGUGUCUGUACCACAUGUACAGGAUAGGUAGGAGUCUAAGAGAUCGGGACGCCAGUUUCGAAGGAGACGCUGUUGGGAUACUACCCUUGUGUUAUGGCCACUCUAACCCAGAUAGGUGAUCCCUAUCGGAGACAGUGUCUGACGGGCAGUUUGACUGGGGCGGUCGCCUCCUAAAAGGUAACGGAGGCGCCCAAAGGUUCCCUCAGAAUGGUUGGAAAUCAUUCGCAGAGUGUAAAGGUAUAAGGGAGCUUGACUGCGAGAGCUACAACUCGAGCAGGGACGAAAGUCGGGCUUAGUGAUCCGGUGGUUCCGUAUGGAAGGGCCAUCGCUCAACGGAUAAAAGCUACCCUGGGGAUAACAGGCUUAUCUCCCCCAAGAGUUCACAUCGACGGGGAGGUUUGGCACCUCGAUGUCGGCUCGUCGCAUCCUGGGGCUGUAGUCGGUCCCAAGGGUUGGGCUGUUCGCCCAUUAAAGCGGCACGCGAGCUGGGUUCAGAACGUCGUGAGACAGUUCGGUCCCUAUCCGUCGCGGGCGUAGGAAAUUUGAGAGGAUCUGCUCCUAGUACGAGAGGACCAGAGUGGACUUACCGCUGGUGUACCAGUUGUCUUGCCAAAGGCAUCGCUGGGUAGCUAUGUAGGGAAGGGAUAAACGCUGAAAGCAUCUAAGUGUGAAACCCACCUCAAGAUGAGAUUUCCCAUGAUUAU